rnacentral:rRNA from 1 species
CACGCCCUAAACGAUGAGAACUAGAUGUUGGGGGAGUUAAGUCCCUUAGUAUCGCAGCUAACGCGUUAAGUUCUCCGCCUGGGGAGUACGGCCGCAAGGUUAAAACUCAAAUGAAUUGACGGGGGCCCGCACAAGCGGUGGAGCAUGUGGUUUAAUUCGAUGCAACGCGAAGAACCUUACCUGGCCUUGACAUGUCUGAAAUCUCUGAGAGAUUAGAGAGUGCCUUCGGGAAUCAGAACACAGGUGC